rnacentral:rRNA from 1 species
CCCACUAUGCUUAGCAGUUAACCCAGGCAGCACACCCAACCCACUGCCCGCCAGAGCACUACAAGUAAAAAACUUAAAACUCAAAGGACUUGACGGUGCCCCACAUCGCCCUAGAGGAGCCUGUCCUAUAAUCGAUAACCCACGUUUGACCUCACCUGCCCUUGCCCACAGCCUAUAUACCGCCGCCUUAGUCCACCUUAUAAAAGCACCAGCAGUGGACCAAAUAGCCCCCACUAAAACGCCAGGUCAAGGUGUAGCUAACGCGCAGGAUGAGAUGGGCUACAUUUUCUACAUAGAAAACCAACCAGCAGCACUAUGAAAUGAGCGCCAAAUGGCGGAUUUAGCAGUAAGCCGCGUAAAAUUGCCCGCCUGAACC